AACCUCCGCAAUGUGAGAAAUCGCGACGGGGGGAUCCCAAGUGCCAUUCUUAACGGGAUGGCUUUUCAUUAGUGUAAAGAGCUUUUGGAAUAAGAGCUGGGCAAGACCGGUGCCAGCCGCCGCGGUAACACCGGCAGCUCUAGUGGUAACAAUUUUUAUUGGGCCUAAAGCGUCCGUAGCCGGUUUAAUAAGUCUCUGGUGAAAUCCUGUAGCUUAACUGUGGGAAUUGCUGGAGAUACUAUUAGACUUGAGACCGGGAGAGGUUAGAGGUACUCCCAGGGUAGAGGUGAAAUUCUGUAAUCCUGGGAGGACCGCCUGUUGCGAAGGCGUCUAACUGGAACGGUUCUGACGGUGAGGGACGAAAGUUAGGGGCGCGAACCGGAUUAGAUACCCGGGUAGUCCUAACUGUAACGAUGCGGACUUGGUGUUGGGGUGGCUUUGAGCUGCUCCAGUGCCGAAGGGAAGCUGUUAAGUCCGCCGCCUGGGAAGUACGGUCGCAAGACUGAAACUUAAGGAAU
rnacentral:rRNA from 1 species